UACGUAGGUGGCAAGCGUUGUCCGGAAUUACUGGGCGAAAAGGGUGCGUAGGCGGAUAUUUAAGGAGAAAGUGAAAGGUUGGAGCUCAACUCCAACAUUGCUUCCUAUACUGGAUGUCUUGAGUUUCGGAGAGGAAGAUGGAACGACACGUGUGGCGGUGAAAUGCGUUGAUAUGUGUCGGAACACCAAUAGCGAAGGCAAUCUUCUGGACGAAUGCUGACGCUGAGGCACGAAAGCCAAGGUAGCGAACAGG
rnacentral:rRNA from 1 species